UGACGGAACGGGCCCCUCCGACCCGUCUAGAAACACGGACCAAGGAGUCUGACACGUGUGCGAGUACCCGGGUGGCAAUCCCGCGUGCGGAAUGAAAGUGAAGGGCACGCCCUGCCAACCGACCUGGACCUUCUGCGAAGGGUUUGAGUGGAGCACACCUGUCGGGACCCGAAAGAUGGUGAACUAUGCCUGAUUAGGGUGAAGUCAGGGGAAACUCUGAUGGAAGCUCGUAGCGAUACUGACGUGCAAAUCGUUCGUCGAACCUGGGUAUAGGGGCGAAAGACUAAUCGAACCAUCUAGUAGCUGGUUCCCUCCGAAGUUUCCCACAGGAUAGCUUGAACGCAACGGUUUUGUCAGGUAAAGCGAAUGAUUAGAGGCCUUGGGGCUGAAACAGCCUUAACCUAUUCUCAAACUUUAAAUGGGCAAGAGGUCCGGGAUGCUUGAGUGAUCCCGGGCGGCGAACGGCGCGUUCAAAGUGGGCCAUUUUUGGUAAGCAGAACUGGCGAUGCGGGAUGAACCGAACGCCGCGCUAAGGUACCCAAGUGUCCGCUCAUCAGAGACCACAAAAGGCGUUGGUACCUCCAGACAGCAGGACGGUGGCCAUGGAAGUCGGAAUCCGCUAAGGAGUGUGUUACAACUCACCUGCCGAAUGAACUAGUCCCGAAAAUGGAUGGCGCUCAAGCGUGUGACCGAUACCCGACCAUUGGCGCGAGAGUUAGGCGUCAAUGAGUAGGAGGGCGUGGGCGUCGUUGUGAAGCCUCUGGCGUGAGCCUGGGUAGAACGGCGUCUAGUGCAGAUCUUGGUGGUAGUAGCAAUUAUUCAAGUGAGAAUCUUGAAGGCCGACGUGGAGAAGGUUUCCGUGAGAACAGCAAUUGGUCACGGGUGACUCGAUCCUAAGACAUGGGGGAAAUCCUUGUUAAGUGCGCGCAAGCGCGUAGUCGAAAGGGAAUGAGGUUAAUAUUCCUCAAGCUGGAUGUGGAUGUUAAGUGGCAACACAAACGAACUUAGAAACGCCAGCGUGAGCCUCUGGAAGAGUUGUCUUUUCUUUUUAACAGACUAGUGUCCCUGAAAUUGGUUUACCCAGAGAUAGGGAGACACGUCUGGAAGAGCACCUCGCUUUUCGAGGUGUCAGGUGCGCUCAUGAUGGUCCGUGAAAAUCUAAGUGAGAAGUAUCACACCAGGUCGUACCCACAACCGCAUCAGGUCUCCAAGGUUAGCAGCCUCUGGCCAACUAGAACAAUGUAGAUAAGGGAAGUCGGCAAAAUAGUUCCGUAACUUCGGGAAAAGGAAUGGCUCUGCGGCUAGGGUGGACAGGGCCUGUUCGGAGGACCAAGUUGUCCUGGCAACCGGGGCGGCAACGCCCUGGGGCCGAGACGACGACAGUCUGAGGGACGGGUUUGUGCUUGCACUCCUGCCACAAUGAACUAGCGACGCAGAACUGGAGCGGACAAGGGGA
rnacentral:rRNA from 1 species